UUUACUUUUCAAAAAGCAUAGAGCGGAGAACAGAUGUGCUGAUUUUCAAAACAAGAGAGUAAUUAUACGAGCGGUAUAAUUGGAUAAACAAUAGCAGAAUGCAGCUGCUGGGUGGAAUUUUGACUGGCCUUUUAAUCGUACAAAUCGUUACAGGCACUAAUAGAACACUUACAGUGGUUGAAAUGAAGGAAACGGCAAUAGAAUGUGCCUCAAGCGCAGAUAUUACUUUCAAAUUUUACAGCAACAUACCGAACAUAUCUGCAACGGUUGCAGAAUGCGAUUCUGUUUAUAAUGAAAUGUAUUAUGUUGCAAGCAUCAACAAAAAACAAAUACAACGUUUCUUAUACUGGGCAUGGCGGAAUCCUGAGAAUACUCAAUAUCGACGAAGAAACCACAGGGACAUAUCGAUGCUAUGAAACAUUUGAUCCUCGAAAUUUCGUCACCACGAUUAUUAAACCGUCGCCGAUUGCAAUCGAAGCAGAUAACCCAAUAAAAACACCCGCUCCAAGUGACAUAAUAAAUCCUAUCGUGAUGUUCACAUUGAACGACAAAUCUUUUGAAUGCGCUUCCCAUGCCGAUAUCACAUUCAAGAUUAUAAACAAUACAUCAAAUACGUCUGUAACAAUUGCAGAAUGCAUCUUGACGCUAAAAUUGUGUUAUAUUUGGAAACAAUCAUUCAGGACAAAAAUACAAUUUACGUGUUACUGGUCAAGGGGAGUACUGCAAAUAAUCAGUUUCGACGAUGAAACAAUUGGAACAUACACAUGUUAUGAAACAUUCAACCCAACAACUUUGUCAUAAUUGACCUAAUUGUUAAUUCUACAAAACUGGAGAAUGGCACGUAUACUGUUAUUUCAAAAGUAUUAAUACAACAGCAAACGAAUUAGAUGAAAGAAGAGUAAAUAAUUCCAAGAACGUUUUGACAAAAGUUCUACCCACGAUUAUUGGAUUGCUUUUCGUCGUCAUCUUGGUGAUUUGUAUUAGGAGGCAAAGUCGAGACGAACGGAACAGCAAAAGUUACUAAACAAUCUCGUUAUCAAUGAACCGGUGGAUACAAACACUUAAGAUGUUACCCGAAAGGCGUCACCAACUAAAGUGCGAUUUCCGAACCAUCACAGAAGGCCUGAUGGUCUCUGGGAAACGGAAACGACGCAACCCAGUCACUUCAACGGUGACAUCACCACCAUCACUAGCAGGGAUUGACAUAUGCAGUGAUCAGCGCAUCAAGCACUGUCAACGCCCAAACAUCCGAACCUAUGCCCGUCAAUAUUCCGAAGAUUGAUCCAUUCUUUCCCCACCGACUUGGUACAGAAUCACGUGUCCCUCUCAAUUUCAAUAAAUCUUCUUCAAACACACUCUCAGUUGUAUGGAGUAGUCUUAAAUGUACACAUGUCAACUUUUAAACCAAGUAAAUUCAACGAUCUGUGUUAUUCGCGUGAUAUUUGUUUAAUUGUUGUCCCAUUUCUAUUCGCUGUGUAUUAACACUGUCACAUGUUUCAUUCAUGAUUUCAAAUUUCGACCUUUUUUGAUGGAAAAUUGUUUGCAUAUUGUCCAUAAAUACAUAAUAUUUUAAAAUAAAAAUGUGUAUUUCAAUGUAUUGAAUAAAUUUGA